GAACCACCUGAUCCCAUCCCGAACUCAGUAGUGAAACGAUGCAUCGCCGAUGGUAGUGUGGGGUUUCCCCAUGUGAGAGUAGGUCAUCGUCAAGC
rnacentral:rRNA from 1 species